rnacentral:rRNA from 1 species
AGAGACAGCAGUAGCCGCGGUAAUACGGAGGGUGCAAGCGUUAAUCGGAAUUACUGGGCGUAAAGCGCACGCAGGCGGUCUGACAAGUCAGAUGUGAAAUCCCCGGGCUUAACCUGGGAACUGCAUUUGAAACUGUCAGGCUGGAGUCUUGUAGAGGGGGGUAGAAUUCCAGGUGUAGCGGUGAAAUGCGUAGAGAUCUGGAGGAAUACCGGUGGCGAAGGCGGCCCCCUGGACAAAGACUGACGCUCAGGUGCGAAAGCGUGGGGAGCAAACAGGAUUAGAUACCCGAGUAGUCCCUGUCUCUUAUAA